CUCCAGUUAAAGAAAGCUGGUAACCUACCUUUGAAGGAAGUAGCAUCAUCUUCAGUUUGGAGAUGAGGCAGCUGAGACCCGGAGAAGUGAAGUGACUUGCCAAAGACCACAGAGCUUAGGAAGAAGACAAGUCAGUGCCCUGGAUCUGGCUUCUCCUGUUCCCGUUUCUGCGGCCAGAUGCCCUUCUCAUUUCUCACCCCGCCACCUGAUGAGAAGCGCUGGCAGUGACUACUCAAGGAAGGCAGAGGGUCGCAGUCUGAGAAGGACUAAGGCAGGUCCAUGUCGCCAUGCCCGCUGCGCCCCGCAGGGAUGCGGAGACCUGAGAGGUGGAAGGACUCCCCCGAGCCUUGAGGCGGGGAAGCAGCUCGCAGCUCUGCCUGGACGUCAGUGCGGCCUGUGCCCCGCACCGCCUUGCGGGGACCUCUGGGCCUCUACCCCUGGUGUGAGGGAGACUGCUUGGUACGUGGGUCACGGCCUCCUGCUCCAGCCGGUUCCUGUCCUCAUCCUCAGAGGCCUCCGGUGACCUACACCUCCACUCUACUUCAGCUCUCCCUCCCCAACUACUCCUGGCAGCGCCGCUCACAGCUCUGAAGUCUCAGACGGGGUGGUGCCACCUUCUCAAGGAAGCUUCCCCUGGACACUGAGCUUUCAGACUGAGCACUCUGAGGACCAGAAGCGACUAAGUUUUGCAUCCCCAUGCUGAACACAAAUGGUUUCCGAAUGAAUGACUAAUAAAUGAAUAGGUGUACCUUUC